AGAGAGAUAAAGAAAUCGGAGAUAGAGAGAGAUAGAGAAGGAGAUCGGAGGAAAAUCCCUAAAGCAUAGAGUCGUCGCCGAGUCAAUCCAAUUGAAUCCGAUAAUUUCAAGCUAGGGUUCCAAAGUUUGAACCUUUAAUCCGUCUUUGUAAAGUUUGAGGCGUUCAAACAGAAAAGGGAAGAAGGGAAAAAUCAGUUUCAUCUCGAAUUUCAUAGAUUUUGAAGAAAUUUUAUAAGCAGUGUGAUCCUGGUCAGUGCUCUCUGUUUCAGUCUCCUUUUCUAAAUUUUAUUCCCUGCUGAAUUACUAUUUGCUGCUGCACCACUUUUUGUAUAGAUAGAACUGCAGCAAGCAAUGUUUUUGGAGAGACUCCAUGACCAACUUUUGAUAGCCUAACACCUUUUGUAUAUAUACCCCUGGAACAACUAGAACAACUAUUUUUUGGAAAAUGUUCCAGCAGCAAUUGUAACCAAGUUGACCUUAAACUAAGAUAGCCUAUUUUUUGAAAACUACUAUAAUGGAAAAUGUUGCCAGUAGAAACUUUGAUAAGAUCUCAAAGCUAGGGCAUGAUUUAA